GAUGAACGCUGGCGGCGUGCCUAAUACAUGCAAGUCGAGCGAACGGACGAGAAGCUUGCUUCUCUGAUGUUAGCGGCGGACGGGUGAGUAACACGUGGAUAACCUACCUAUAAGACUGGGAUAACUUCGGGAAACCGGAGCUAAUACCGGAUAAUAUUUUGAACCGCAUGGUUCAAAAGUGAAAGACGGUCUUGCUGUCACUUAUAGAUGGAUCCGCGCUGCAUUAGCUAGUUGGUAAGGUAACGGCUUACCAAGGCAACGAUGCAUAGCCGACCUGAGAGGGUGAUCGGCCACACUAGAACUGAGACGCGGUCCAGACUCCUACGGGAGGCAGCAGUAGGGAAUCUUCCGCAAUGGGCGAAAGCCUGACGGGGCAACGCCGCGUGAGUGAUGAAGGUCUUCGGAUCGUAAAACUCUGUUAUUAGGGAAGAACAUAUGUGUAAGUAACUGUGCACAUCUUGACGGUACCUAAUCAGAAAGCCACGGCUAACUACGUG
rnacentral:rRNA from 1 species